rnacentral:rRNA from 1 species
UACAUAGGGGGCAAGCGUUAUCCGGAAUUAUUGGGUGUAAAGGGUGCGUAGACGGGAAAAUAAGUUAGUUGUGAAAUCCCACGGCUCAACUGUGGAACUGCAACUAAAACUGUUUUUCUUGAGUAUCGGAGAGGAAAGUGGAAUUCCUAGUGUAGCGGUGAAAUGCGUAGAUAUUAGGAGGAACACCAGUGGCGAAGGCGACUUUCUGGACAGAAACUGACGUUGAGGCACGAAAGUGUGGGGAGCAAACAGG